ensembl:lincRNA
GUCUUUGCUUUUCCAGGCACCACAAUAACUGAAAUUUGUGCAUAUUAGAACAAUGCCUUCACUUUACACAGUUCUAAUAUGCACAACAUAAACUGCCUGUAGUUUGGACUUUUUUCCUUGUUUUCCUCAUGGUAUUUUAGUAAGGGGCUAACCCUAACUAAAUUGCCAAAUAAUAAUUUUUGAUUUGAAUUUAUCUUGUUGGUAUUCCACUAUAGACCCGGGAGUCCUUGUCUUAAACCCAGUGUACUCAAUGAUUGAACAGCUGUAUUGUUUUUAAAUUUUUUUUCAUAUCCUAAUAUUUCAUAUUUCUCUGUACUUUCUGUCCCCGAAGGAAUUUCUUGCCAUUUUUUGGUUGGUUUGGGACCUUUCCAGGAUUAUAGAAAGAAUGGAUUUCAAAAACCAAGUUUCUGCUUUUUCUGUUGCAAACAAUGUCCAGGAAGCUAAUGUUUAUAAUAUUUCCCUCUCUUGAUCUUUUCAUUCCUCAGACCUGGGUUAGAUUUGAGGUCAGGACCAUUGUCCUAUUGAGGAAAAGGCUGUUUCUAAGGGUAUCGCCUCUGCCGCCAGCCUCAGCGCUCUGCAACCAGGUCCACAGGUGUUCCCACACCCAUGUUACAAGCUGAAAUGCACAGUGGAUUGAAGCGGGGCUGUCAGUCACGUGGUGUUUGAGGACUCCCAUUGUAAAUCAGGGAUUCUUGCAGCCUGCUUUUUCAGGGACGUUGGCUGCUGUCUUCUGACCCACCCUGUGUGACUUUGGCGUCUCCUGUGACCUCCCAGUAUGGGUCUUGGCUUCAUCCUGCCUCUUUGCCUUUCUGGCCCACCACCGCCAACUUGAAUCUCAGGCUCCAACAGUUGCCUGACCCCCAGACUCUGAUGACAGCCUACCUACUUGUUCUUCAGACCCUGAGCAGACUCACUGCCCAGACACACCAUACACGAGAACAUGAAAGGGUAUUUGAGUUUGGGGCCAUGUCAUAGGAUGCACCUUGAAAUGAGCCACGACAUGUGCAGUCUAAUGGUCUCUGUUGAUCCAUUUGCUGUCUGUGAAACUCCAGAAGUCAGAUCAUUGAACCAUUCUAGAGACUUCAAAUCCAUUGAGAUGGGAUUAAUGCCUUUGCCUGCUCAGACAGAGGACAGAAUGACCAUUGGAAGUGUUCAUCAGUAUUUUCCUGCUCUUAGAUGGAAAGGCCAAGGCCACCCCAAGCAUGCUGAAAUUAGUGGGCCAUUGUCAGGAAGAAGUUCGGAACUACAUAUGGAACCAGAUUGUGUAUUUUCUUCUGGCAUGUCUUCUGAUUUUUUAUAUCGAGUAAUAGGAAACAGGUAAAUUGAGGACUUAUGUUUAUCUGGUUAGGAGUCACGUUGUGUUUAGUGUUGCUCAUAGAUGUAGGUACUAAAUAUUUCAAUCUCUUCUAGCAUCCUUGUUUUUGUUUUACUUCUUGAUUUUGGGUUUUUGUAUACACUGUUGCUUAGGGAAAAUUUUUCUUUUGUAGUUCUUUUUUUUAUUUUUUAUUUUUUUGAGGUGGAGUCUUGCUUUGUCACCCAGGCUGGAGUGCAGUGGUGCAAUCUCGGCUCGCUGCAAGCUCUGCCUCCCCGGUACACGCCAUUUUCCCGUCUCAGCCUCCAAGUAGCUGGGACUACAGGUGCCCACCACCACGCCUGGCUAAUUUUUUGUAUUUUUAGUAGAGACAGGGUUUCACCAUUCACAGGAUGGUCUCGAUCUCCUGACCUCGUGAUCCGCCUGCCUCGGCCUCCCAAAGCGCUGGGAUUACAGGCUUGAGCCACUGCGCCCGGCCCUCUUAUAGUUCUUAGACCUGUAAGCACAGUUAUUUUACUGGACCCUGUUGAUAUGGUGGUUAGGUGUGAGGGAGGUAAAGCGUUGUAUAAUUUUCUGAUUAAGUCUCACCCUUCUAUUACAUCGAUGUUUUGAGGCUGUGGUCUUCACAAGUGUUUCUCCAGUGGUGUAGCUUUUUGUCUCCUCGUCCCUCCUACAUUUCUGGCUGCAAUAUUCCUAAUCUAUUUCUUUGAACUCUAAUCUCUGUGGACUGUUGUGUUUUCCACUGCCUUAGGUGACAUAGGAAAGCUGGAGACAUGAGCUGGAAGAAUUUCUCUUCUCUUUCUGGAAUAAGGCUUCAGAAUUGAGUGCUGGCAAACUUCUUUAUCCUGGUAAGUGGGCUUUUUUUUCUUUUUAAAACAUCUUUCAUAUUUUACCCUGGCUGUUCUUCCACUCUACUUAAAACAGCCAUGAGGACGUAUUUUUCAGAUACAUACAAUGUCAACCUAGCGGAGCGACUGAAGAGAAGGACCACAAAAAUGUGGGAGCUCCUUCUCAAUCUCAUGCUAGUAAACACUUAGCCUCCAGAAAUUCAUCAAAAUCACCAUUUAAGUGUUUGUACCAGUUUAUGUCUCUAGAAGCUUCUGCUCCAAGUAAGUAGAUAUUGGUUGCUAUAUCUUUCUGCAUGUACCUCUCUCCGUAUUUGGGAGUUAGUUGCCCUAUGACCUCAAUUCUCUUGGUGGGUCCAAGAAAAGUCUUUGAUUUUUGGUUUGUUCAGAUUUCCCUUGUAAGGAUGGAGGUGAUGACUUCCAAGCUAUUCACAUGUUCAAGCAGAAACCAUAACUCCCCACAGUAACUAUUUUACCUCUAGUAGAAAAAGGUCCUACUGUGGUUGGCAAAUCCUAAGAAGAUAUCUGUAAUCUGGUGGAUCUGAGUCACUGGGAAGUCAAAAGGAAGUGGAAGUCUAGUAAGUCCCUCUUUUGGAGAAUUACUGGUACCUUGAGGUUGAUGUAUCUCUUUAGGCUUCCUAUUUCAGAUAAAGAACCUACUGAAACAAUAUAGUUUUCCAGAAUAAGGGAAAAAAAAGAUGGGGAAAAAAGAGGGAGAAAAACCCUGUUUUUCACUGUAGAAACUGAAUAUGGCAAUUCUGACUUCUGGAUUAUGAAACCGCUUGCCCUCCCUUUCCCAACUUCUAAAACUCCUCUCCACAUGGAAUUUCCUGGUGUUGUGAAUGUCCACAAUCUUGGUAUUGCAAAAAUCCAAUAUAAUAAUGAUGAUGAUGAUAAUAAUAAUAAUAAUACAAACAUAAGAAACCAGCACCUGUGUAAAGUUAUUAUAUGAAAGUGUAAAUUAGUAUCAAAACCUUUAGCAUAUUAAAUGUUGCCAAAAAGUCAUGAAAAUGAAGAACAUUGUAACAAAUACAUUUAUGAAUUAAAUAUCAUUAAAUGAGCAAUUGCAUAUGUGACAGGGUACCAUGACUCAGAGUAGAAAAAAAUCAAAAACAGGGAGGUAUAAAAUAGAAGUUGGUAGAACUCAGAAAGGAAAUGGAAGAAAAAGACAAAAACUAUUUAAGAAUAAAAGAUAAAUUAUGAGGAACUCAAGGAUGAAUAGAUGCAAUGGAGAGGGCAAUGGAGAGACAAAGAUAAAUGUAAAACUGAAAUGUGGAAGAGGCUAAAAGAAUUAGAUAGACUACUUGUUCUUUCCUUGAUGGAGUGAUAGUUAUAGGGUUAAUCUCUUGCUAUAAACAAUUAUAAAACUGGAUUAAAUAUUUGAAGCAACUGGUUUCAGAUAUUGAACAAUAGGCAGUGCAAAGCUUUGAUCCUUGAGCAAAUGGAAAUAGUCAAGGAGAGCUCAACAUUCACCCUGGAUUUCUGGCUGGUACUUGUUCCAGACAAUUGCACAGGAAAUUGGAACAAGCAGAAAGUAACUGUCCUUCUGGGUAGAAGAAACAGAGAUCAGAGUUUGGGGAUGCUGCAAGGCUGAAAUGUACAGAGUAUGGCACUGGAGAAAACUAUAUUCAGAGAAGGUAUUUUAUAAAUCUGUAUAGGUACCCCUUAACUCUUGGCUUAAUACUAAACUAUACUGGCACCGCAUGCAAUUUCUUCAGUUGUGGCAGAGAAAUGCUACAGGGUCACCACAAGCUGAACUAGUAUUUUAGAUAUCAUUCAGUUUUGAGAGCUGUUGAAUUUCUGAUCAGACAGCUUUGGGCAUCUCAGCCACGCAUUUAGCUGAGAUGCCAAAAACUCUGUCUUUGAGUAGGGUUACACCUUAUUUUAGAAUACGGGUUACUCUGGACCUGUGCUAAGAAGUCCUAACAAUAAGCCAUGGCAAGAUCAAGCUUAUCUUCCAGUCAAUUACCUGUCAGAAUAAACUUUAACAUUCUUUAAUGGAACACACAAAAAGUAGGCUCUCAACUAUAUAACAUAUACAAUUUAGUAUACAAAGAAAAAUUACUAGAUAUGGGAAGAAAUAAGAAAAUGUUAGCUACAACCAGAAGAAAAACCUGACAAACAGGAAAAGGAUGGGAUAGAAGAUAUGUUGGAGUUAGCAGGCAAGGACUUUUUAAAAAGUUAUAGUAUGCCUGAAAUUUAAAGAAAAAGAUAACACAAUGAGCAAACAGAUUGGGGAAUAUUGAUGACAUUAACAGCAGAUUGGAUUACGCAGAAAAAAAUCAAUGGACUUAAAGAAGUAGCAACAAAAACUAUAAAGCAUAGCAUACAGAGAGAAACUUGCUGAAAAAAAUAUGAGAGAGUGCAUUGGUGACCCAUGGGACAAUAAUAAGCUGUUUAAUAGGGUUGUACUUUGUGUCCAGGAAGAAUAGGGGAGACAUUGGGACAAAAAGAAUUUGAAGAGGUAAUGGCCAAGAAUUUUCCAAAUUUGAUGAAAAAGAGCAACUCACAAGACCGAGAGGUUCGACAAACACCAAGAAGGAUAAACUCUAAGAAAACCAUCUCUAGUCAUAAAAUAAUAAAAAUGCUAAAAACCAUAAAUACAGAGAAGAUUUUAAUUCUUAUGAAUUACUUUUAGUACUUUCAUAGUCCAUUUAGUGUUGCUAAGGAACACUUAAGGCUGAGUAAUUUAUUAAAAAAUGAGGCUGGCCGGGCGCGGUGGCUCACACCUGUAAUCCUGGCACUUUGGGAGGCCGAGGCAGGCAGAUGACUAGGUCAGGAGAUCAAGACCAUCCUGGCAAACAUGGUAAAAUCCCGUUUCUACUAAAAAUACAAAAAAAUUAGCUGGGUGUGGUGGUGGGUGCCUGUAGUCCCAGCUACUUGGGAGGCUGAGGCAGGAGAAUGGCAUGAACCCCA